UAUAACCGGCGAUUUCCGAAUGGGGAAACCCAGUGUGACUCGUCACACUAUCAUUAACUGAAUCCAUAGGUUAAUGAGGCGAACCGGGGGAACUGAAACAUCUAAGUACCCCGAGGAAAAGAAAUCAACCGAGAUUCCCCCAGUAGCGGCGAGCGAACGGGGAGGAGCCCAGAGCCUGAAUCAGCAUGUGUGUUAGUGGAAGCGUCUGGAAAGGCGCGCGAUACAGGGUGACAGCCCCGUACACAAAAGCGCAUGUGCUGUGAGCUCGAUGAGUAGGGCGGGACACGUGGUAUCCUGUCUGAAUAUGGGGGGACCAUCCUCCAAGGCUAAAUACUCCUGACUGACCGAUAGUGAACCAGUACCGUGAGGGAAAGGCGAAAAGAACCCCGGCGAGGGGAGUGAAAAAGAACCUGAAACCGU
rnacentral:rRNA from 1 species